rnacentral:rRNA from 1 species
UGAAUGCUAGGUGUUGGAGGGUUUCCGCCCUUCAGUGCCGCAGCUAACGCAUUAAGCAUUCCGCCUGGGGAGUACGACCGCAAGGUUGAAACUCAAAGGAAUUGACGGGGGCCCGCACAAGCGGUGGAGCAUGUGGUUUAAUUCGAAGCAACGCGAAGAACCUUACCAGGUCUUGACAUCUUUUGAUCACCUGAGAGAUCAGGUUUCCCCUUCGGGGGCAAAAUGACAGGUGGUGCAUGGCUGUCGUCAG